GACGAACGCUGGCGGCGUGCCUAAUACAUGCAAGUCGAGCGCAGGAAGUCAUCCGAACCCUUCGGGGGGACGUUGACGGAAUGAGCGGCGGACGGGUGAGUAACACGUAAAGAACCUGCCCUCAGGUCUGGGAUAACCACGAGAAAUCGGGGCUAAUACCGGAUGGGUCAUCGGACCGCAUGGUCCGAGGAUGAAAGGCGCUCCGGCGUCGCCUGGGGAUGGCUUUGCGGUGCAUUAGCUAGUUGGUGGGGUAAUGGCCCACCAAGGCGACGAUGCAUAGCCGACCUGAGAGGGUGAUCGGCCACACUGGGACUGAGACACGGCCCAGACUCCUACGGGAGGCAGCAGUAGGGAAUCUUCCACAAUGGACGAAAGUCUGAUGGAGCAACGCCGCGUGAACGAUGAAGGCCUUCGGGUCGUAAAGUUCUGUUGUAAGGGAAGAACAAGUGCCGCAGGCAAUGGCGGCACCUUGACGGUA
rnacentral:rRNA from 1 species